AUGGUAUUUGUUAACCUGCCCAGUUUCGGCUUGCCCAAAGUAAUGAAUGUAUCUCCGCAACUGCCUUCUCCUGCACUUGUUGCUGUUGUUCCUUGCUCCUCCGCCAGAGUCGCACGUCACCACACGAAUUGUGCGGCCCAUACAAAGACACUUGAUGGCUCGUCCUGCAUUCCAGUCCCUUCAAUUCCGACACCAGACGAUCCUUUUAACUGCCGAACGGCUCGUCUUAUUACUUAUUGUGUUAGUGUAAGGUACAUCACAAAAAUGAAUGGUUGUGUGCAUCAUGAUGAUGCAGAGGCCAGAGCCUUCCCCUUUUCAACAGAAAAAAUGGAACAAAAAUGCAAGUGUGUGGUUUGGACUUUGGAGAGCACAAACACUUUGGUUACUUGUAUGGGCAUGGUUGGUUACCAAGGACAGUACUCCGGAGUGUUGCCCAGCCUUAAUGUCUGCCUCUCCUCUCCAGUUCAGUGA
rnacentral:rRNA from 1 species